AUUGAACGCUGGCGGCAUGCCUUACACAUGCAAGUCGAAUGGUAACAGGUCUUCGGAUGCUGACGAGUGGCGAACGGGUGAGUAAUACAUCGGAACGUGCCUAGUAGUGGGGGAUAACUACUCGAAAGAGUGGCUAAUACCGCAUGAGAUCUACGGAUGAAAGCAGGAGAUCGCAAGACCUUUCGCUACUAGAGCGGCCGAUGGCAGAUUAGGUAGUUGGUGGGAUAAAAGCUUACCAAGCCGACGAUCUGUAGCUGGUCUGAGAGGACGAUCAGCCACACUGGGACUGAGAAACGGCCCAGACUCCUACGGGAGGCAGCAGUGGGGAAUUUUGGACAAUGGGCGCAAGCCUGAUCCAGCAAUGCCGCGUGCAGGAUGAAGGCCUUCGGGUUGUAAACUGCUUUUGUACGGAACGAAAAGCCCCGGGUUAAUACCCUGGGGUCAUGACGGUACCGUAAGAAUAAGCACCGGCUAACUACGUGCCAGCCGCCGCAGUAA
rnacentral:rRNA from 1 species